UCUUAUAAUAACAUUUUAACGGUUGGUUUGUGACAGUAAUGUGUGACACGCCCUGCCCCUCUACAUUUAUGGUCAAAUCCUAGUAGUGUGUAGCUGAAUACUGCAAUAUCAUGACUAAAUCUAUUUGUUAAGGCCAUCUCAAUUUUCGUCAAGAUCGCUGAGAUGUAAAUAAGGUUAGGGCACGUGAUUGUUGACGGGAAUGUAGGUUAGGGUUGGGCUAAGUAUUAGGGCUAGGACCAGGAUUAGGAUUGGGUUUAGUGCUAGCCCUGUUUACAUCUCGUGACCUUUGACCAAACUUCAAGUUGGCCUUAUCAGAUAGAUAUAACCGUAAGCAAAACUAGCCUAUCUUACUUGUUAUACUGCGUGAUGUCAAUCAUAGUCUAUAAAUAGAAUAACGAACAAAAAUACUAACCAAUGAUAAAAGGUUUUAAUAUCAACAUAAAGGAUCUUACAUUGAAUUAACAUCCCGCUUAAAGUCCUUGUCAAUUUAGGUAAAGUACAGCUAGAAUUCCCGAUAAUAAAUUGCGACAACUUUUGUAAGCUUAAUUUCAUAAUCUUACAAAGUGAGACUUCGUGAAAGGCAGUUUAUAGUGACAACUUUUGUAAGCUUUAUUUCAUAAUCUUGUGAGUCGUGAAUGACAGUUUAUUGUGUAGCCUAAGUAAUAGUAAUAAUAAUAUUACUAUAGCCACUAGGUAUUUUUAAUCUACUAGUAGUAGUAGUAGCAGAGUAGACAACAACUCUGUCGACAUUAGUGUGAAUCUAUCAACAACAUCAACAUUAAGAAAACAAGUAAAUAAAUCAGGUGUAUAAUAUCAUCAUGGACCCAUCAGACAAAUAUGUCGUACCACCCCCAAGCUAUGAAGAAGCGGUCAGCGAUCCCAAUCCCAAUCCAAAUCCAAAGGAGAUAGAAGAAGAAAUUAAACAAGAAAAGAGAACGGCCGUUACCAUGCAACCUGUCUCCGUGGUGAAUUCUACGCCCGUCGUUAAAACUCAACCUGUACCAGCUGUAGCGUAUACAGCAGUUGAUGGUGGUGGAGGAACUACACUAGUUGAUGACACCUGUACGUUAUGUUUCUGUUUAACUUGUCCUACCUGCGACAGUAAACCAUGUGACUGUGACGGUGAUUGUUGCGAUUGUGAUUGUGAUUGCGGUGAUUGUUGCGAUUGUGAUUGCGGUGGUUGUGAUUGUGAUUGCGGUGGGUGCGACCUUGGAGGAUGUGAUUGUUCCUUUUAAGUGACUCACAUUUUUUUUAAAAACCUACUUACAUUUUUCAUGUCAAAAAUUAUCGAAUUGGUAGAGGUUGUCCUAACCGUGACAUUAAACGACGUGACCGUGACAGAGAUUGCGGUGAUUGUGAUUGCGAAGGGUGCGAUGUCGGAUGCUGUGAUUUUUCCUUUUAAGUGAUUCUUGUUUUGGAAACAUACUUCCGUUACACAUGGCAUGUUAAAAGUUGCCGAAUUGAUACUGGGCUUCUGAAAACAUCGUGUAGUGUUUCUGUGGAAUUUUGGUUUAUUGGAAAAUGGAUGACUUUGGCACUAAAACGUGCUGGCAUCUUAAUCCAAGGAAAUGCUUAGAAAUUUAUAAGGAUUUUCAAUAGCUACGUAAACCCAUUAGUGCCUGAACCGUGCGCCAGUCUGAAUUUGGAUUCUUGUAUUAUUAAAGAUGCAUUCCCACGGAAGUAUUUAAAUGGUAUUUACCACCAAUAAAACUAUGGCAAAUAUUUAUCUAUUAAUCGUGUAGAGAUAUCCAAUCUUACUAGAAAAUUAAUGGAUUCCCGAAAACAUUAAAAAAUAACAUCCAUGUAGCCUGCACACUACAAACAUGUAAGGGUAUCACAAGCUGGCCAACUGUCGCUGUGUCUGCUCUGACGUAUGGAGCGCUUAUGCGUUGAGAGACUGAAUAUAUUCUGCGAUUAAACGGCGGAAAAAGGCAUUGGCAAGGGAUAAUUCAGCCUUCGAUAUGUAUUGUAACUGGACAGCGAGUAACCACAAAUGCCAUCUGAAUAGUGAUGCAAAUAUUAUAUUCUUUUAUUUUUCACUGUUUACAGUGACUCACCCGAAAAAAGAGGACAACGUUUUAAUUUGACAGAUAUAGUUAUAGAAUCGAAUUAAAUAGACUCUCUCUUAAAGUCAAAUUGUGAUUUACCCAACACAAACACACCACUACCACAUAUUACCUCAUAAUAGAACGCUUCUCAUUCAAACAAAAUCUUAAGGCCCGCUCCCACUGCACUUACGAAUGCAAAGAGGAUGUAAAACGGGGAAAAAACGUCAGUCCAGAGAGGUUGAGAGGCCCUUCAUGAAGGACUUGAGAUGUCAGGCCCAAUACUGCUGUGAAAUUGUCUGUUGACGGCCUUGGCUCUGGGGUGUAGGAAGGGUUGGGGUGAGUGUGCUGGGGCUGUCUGGUCUGCAGCUGGGUGAUGAGUGGCGUCUGAUGAACCUGGUCUUGGACUGAGAAAAUCUGCCUCUGCUGUGGGAAGACCUGGUAGUCUUAGUCUUGGUAGGUGAGGGACUGUUGAAAGCCGUGGAAGGGCUGUGACGUCGCCUGGGGUGGAGGAGCAGACCUGGACUGGGUAGGAUGAGCUUCAGUUGGGCCUUGAGGCUUGUGCUGGUCUUCAUUGUGUCCCUGAUCUCCAACAGCACAAUGUCGUCCCGGCCCUCCAGUUUGCCUCUCUGCCUGCGUCCUCUGGAGCUGGUGCUGGAGGUGGGUUGGCCUCUGGUGGCUGCCGCUUGUUCCUCCAUUUGUGAGAGCAGGGCGUCAUCCUCCACGGGAUUCUCUAAGUUCUGCACCAUGGGUAGUGCAGCUGUCGAGGGGGUCUCUGCUGUGCGGCCCUCUGAAGACUCCUGUCUGGAUAAGGUACGUGGCUUCUGGCUUGAAGAUGGCUGGCUGUCUGUGGGCUGGCUGAGGGAGAGGGGUCUCAGCGGGGCUGCUCCUCGGUGGCGGAUCUCACCCUCCAGGAAAUUGCACUUGGCCAUGACGUACUUCUCCCGGUAAGUGAGCUUGAUGGCGGCCUGCCCGGAUUUCUUGAGGUGUAGCUUCCCAUACCAGGAGUGCAUGUGCUUCCACCAUCCAAGGAGUACUUCUGCAGUGUACCCCGGGCUCUCUGCCUUGUCUCUCCAAGCUGCCCACUUCUUGGUGUCCCGGUACAGUCUGUGACCCUUUCUCCAGAGGUACUCAUUCUCCCUCAGCCAUUCCAGCACAUCAUCCUCAUGCUCCUCGGAAACGGUGUACUGUUUCCUCUCUUCCUUUUUCUUCCGUUGCCUCUUCUUCUCCCUGGCUGGAGCUUGUUCAAGGCCUUCAGGGGCUUCAGCAGGGCGUUCAUGGGCUUGAGCAUCAGGGCCUUCAGGAGCUUGUUCAGGGAUUUCAGGGGCUUCAGCAUCAGGGCCUCCAGGAGCUUGUUUAGGGAUUUCAGGGGCUUCAGCAUUAGGGGCUUGAACAUCAGGGCCUUCAGCAGGGAGUAGGGUGCUCGUUCUGGCCUUCUUCGCCUUGCCACGUAGUGGAGAUGUAUCGAUGUAGCCGCCAGCACGUCUUUCCACUUUAUGCUGACUGCGCGCGUGCUGCAUCCCUUUAUAUCUGCGGAGCGGACGCAAUUCAUACACCCCGCAUGCGCAGUGAACGGUUUGCAUCCGAUAUACAUCCGCGCGGGAUCCCCUUUGUUCCCGUAAGGAGUACGUGAUGCAUCCGCUUCACCCGCUAUGCUUCGGCUCUUUUCGCUAGGCGUCCGCUUCGAAAUUAUCCCCGAUAACCCCUUCGGAGCUGUCAUCCACUUCCACCCGCUUUCUUCCGCUAGGCUUACGAUGAACAUCCACUUAACAUCCCCGCUACAUACUUCCCACGUUCGUUCUUUUCCGUUCUGUUUUCGCAAAUUUUCGUCAAUUUUGUCCAUUUCUGGAGCGGAUGAAAACGGAUGGAGCCACCCCCGAAAGUGUGCUCGUCCGCUGUGUCCUUUUUGCAUACGUUUUGUGUUCAUCGACCACUGGGACUGGGCCUUUAUUCUUUGUUUUAAUCAGAAUAUUUGAACUAUGCUAAGUAUAGGGUGACCCACCAUAAAUAAAUAUCUCCAUAUAUCUCGACAAUUACGCCACAAUAUUUAUAUAUAUGCCAAGCCUCAAAUCAGUUUCACACAAUUAUAGUCACUAAAUAAACGAUCAUGUUGUACUUAAUAAGCUAUGACCAUUAAUCAUGUAUAAAUAAUAGACUGAAAACUGGUUCCAAGAGUCGUCCAUAACAUCCAGACACAUUUGAGUAAAAGAUAGGUUACGUGCCCUUGUUUUGAAAUUAGUCUCGCUUAACCAGUCUAUCGACCAUUCUACGUCUGAUUGACAGGUCGGGAUAAUCAAGACUACUUUUUUUACGAAACAUAACAGAAAGCUAGAACAAGAAAUUGAAUUUAGAAAUAAGCACUUUAGACAACUCAACAAUCGUUUUAAGAAGCUUGUAAAAGUAAAAUGAAACUAUUGCUAGUAUCAUGUUCCUGUCUAACCCGAGUGAUUCAGAGAUAUUAUUUGUACUAAACCAAAAGAUGCCGCUCUUAACGGUACAGUUAAUGAUAAAGCGAUUUAAAAAAUGAAACGAACGUAAUUUCUAAAUCUGCUGUAAUAACCAAGAAGCUUAAUUUUACUGCUAUUCAAAAUCGUCAACAAUAAAUUUUUUUACGGCUGUAAUAGUUGAUAGAUUUGUAGAGAAUUGCACGUGCCAUGGCUAUUUAUAGUAUCAUACUGUCAGAAAGUUGGUCUCGGCACGGCGAAUGUGCACGCUUCAGUGGUAGUCUCGAACUAUCAGCGGUGGACUGUAUUUCUGUGAGUACAUGGGUCAUCCUACUAAGUAAUAGGACUACAAAAUCUCUGGGGUUUUUAUUCAGAGAUACUAAUUAAAAGGCCUACAAAAUCUCAGUGUUUUUUUAUUCAGAGUAUUUGAACUUGCCAAUACUAAUUAAAAGGCCUGCAAAAUCUCAAUGUUUUUUUUUAUUCAGAGUACUUGAACUUGCCAACACUGAUAAAUAAGCCCUCAAAAUCUCAGUGAUUUAGAGUACUUGAAUUUCUCAAACUUAUUGUUAAGCUUACAUAAUCAAUUAAAGAUCUGAUGUAGAAAGUGAUACAUGCCCUAUCACACCUUUAGUUAGGUAUAUAUUGGUCGUUUAACACGUUAAUAAUACACGUAGAUGGAAUAAAUUAGGUAACGGCGAAUACUUCAAUUUACAUUGUUUACGUUUUGAUAAUCUGUCUGGAAUAACUCAAAAUAAGAUUAUAUGAUCAAAACUAGAAAGGUUCUGAAUUUAAAAUGUGUAUCAUGAAUUUGUGUUUUUGAAUUUGAUAACUUUUAUUUCGUUUCAUAGGAUAACUGUCUUAAGGAGAUUGUUAUGUUUUUUUUUGUGUGGGGGGGGGGGGGGGGGUCUGUAUAUUUACUUCUUAGACUCUAAUGUACUCACCCGGGUUAUUUUAUCUUUGUAUUUUUCAGUUUUAUUGAAUUUUCUUUUUAUCGUACAUGUAUAUAAGUACACACUGAUAUUAAUUCGUAUAUUAUUUUACUAAAUAUUCCCGCACAAAAUGUUUUAAUACAUAUAUUAGAUAUGUUCAUUUUACAUGCAUAUUGCAUGUAUGUCUGUUAAAUCAUGUACUUUUACUAUUUCUCUCACAACACAGUGUAUGACGUAUGUCCGUCUUUAUUAGCCCAGUUGGAGCAGAACAAUAGGACGUUAAACCCCAUUUCAAUUUCAUUGUUUAUUUUUUUUUUUUUUUUUUUCAUAGGAUAUUUGUCUUGAUGAGAUUUUUAUAUUUACUUCUUAGGCUGUAAUGUACUCACCGGCUUACUUUAUCUUUGAAUUUUUCAGGAUUUUUAAAUUAUAUUUUAUUCUAUAUACUAAGUCGUGCAACAUGUUUUAAUCAAUAAUUAAGAUAGGUAUAUAUAUAUAUACGCCUAUACGCCUGUUAAGGAUUCGUUCAUAUCAAAUCAUAUAUUUUUACUAUAAAUAUCAAAAGGAUAUAAUCAGGAUAUUUUAAAAGUUGAAAUUUUGUAAAUAAUAGAUUGCUUUAUAUUAAUAUAUAUAAUAAUAAAUUAUGUUUUAUAUAAAUGUUUAA